ACGAAGGUGGCAAGCGUUGUUCGGAUUUACUGGGCGUACAGGGAGCGUAGGCGGUUGGGUAAGCCCUUCGUGAAAUCUCCGGGCCUAACCCGGAAAGUGCGGAGGGGACUGCUCGGCUAGAGGAUGGGAGAGGAGCGCGGAAUUCCCGGUGUAGCGGUGAAAUGCGUAGAGAUCGGGAGGAAGGCCGGUGGCGAAGGCGGCAUCCUGGACCGGCAUUGACGCUGAGGAGCGAAAGCCAGGGGAGCAAACGGGA
rnacentral:rRNA from 1 species